rnacentral:rRNA from 1 species
AUGCACGCACUCGCCGGUCUCCGUCAACGGACUUUCAGAGACUUCAGAGUUCAGAGAGUUUCGCCGGCUGAAGCAAGCUGCAGCUCUGCCGAUCUGCCUUCCUUUCUUGCUCUGCUGAAGGAGUACUUAACAGCUGUUAACACUGACAGUAGGAAUGAAUGGAUGGUGCUGAAGGCAGCCAGUGUUCACAUUAGUUACCUGGCACAUCAAGGAGGGAAGCUUCAAACUUGGCCUGCUGUCAGUUCUUCUCACUGGUUUUUCUUUCUUCCGGCUAUUGUCUUCAUUGUCGAUGGCUAUGUGUUUAUUAGCAGGAAAACUCGGGCGAAGCAACCUAUUGUUGUUUUCCAGCAUGUGUGGAAAAGCAGUUUCCGUUUGGAAAUUGGAAGAUCAUAG